UACGGGGGGGGCAAGCGUUGUUCGGAAUUACUGGGCGUAAAGGGCGCGUAGGCGGUUGGAUAAGUUGGCGGUGAAAACCUCGGGCUUAACUCGAGGCCUGCCGUCAAUACUGUCGGACUGGAGUGUGGGAGAGGGUAGUGGAAUUCCUGGUGUAGCGGUGAAAUGCGUAGAUAUCAGGAGGAACACCUGCGGCGAAGGCGGCUACCUGGACCACAACUGACGCUGAGGCGCGAAAGCUAGGGGAG
rnacentral:rRNA from 1 species